AAGCUGUCGCCGGGCGGGGACCCUAUUCCCUGCAGUGUAGGUGGCCUCGGGCCCUCCUCUGAGAAAGUGCUCAGGGGCGUGGCGCUGGCAGGUGAGGAGUCCAGGUGCACCACAACUGCAUUUGCGCUUCUUCAAAGGAAAUAUGUUGUGCUUUGCCUGAGAGUGUGGCUAUUUGUUUUAUUUGAUUGUUACACUUUCCUGAAUUAUGUUUAUGGAAAGCUGAAUAAUGAUCCCCCAAGAUGUCUGUUUUCUAACCUUGAGGACCUGUGACUAUUUCCUUCUAUGAGAAGAGGAAGAAAUCAAUGAACAGAGGAAAGCAGAACUGAAAAAGGAGCCAGUCGGAUGAUGGAAAAGAAAGCAAAAAGCCUGGAUUCUAGAACUCUCGGACACAAAAGCAAGAGCUUUUCCUUUUGCAUAAGAUAUUUUGAGAGAUGCUUCACCCACUUUUCCCCAAAGGUCCUGAAUAAUACUCUUAAACCUCGGGUUGUUACAGUUCACAUAUGGGGUACAGUUAGUUGAUGGGAUGACAGUUUGAAUUUCACUUUAAAAAUCUAUGAUGCAGUUUGAAGGAGUAGUGAAUUGACUUUGAUUAAACCAGUUAUUUUAGUAAAGACUGUUCUUUGACAUCAUCUUGACUUCAUAGGUUUUACAAAUCCCAACUUGAAACAAUGGAAGGAUCUAUCAGGCAAUUCUUUUAUCAAUUGAUGGUAUGUAGAUGAAAUUUGAUAUGUUUUUCCCAUCCCAGGAAACCUCUGUUUUGCCACUUCCUAACCAAAUGGCCUUGAGCAUGUAAUUGAGUUCUUUUAUCUAUAAUCUGCAAACUAACAAUAAUCACCCUGUAAGGUUAUUAGGAUUAGAGAUGUUCUUGGAGGUCUUAGACAACUAAAAGGCUUAUAAUAAACUAUGUUCUUAUUUAUGGAAAUAGCUAACAUUUAAUGAAUACUUAUUAUGUGCCAGACACUGUGCUAGAGAUGUUAUUCAACAUCUCAUUUAAUCUUCAGAAUGAGUUUUUGAAAUGAUAAUUAUAAAUAUCCCCAUUUUAGAGAUGAGAAACCUGAGGCUAAGAGAAGGUAACUUGCUCAAGGGACUGUAGAUAGGAAGAGUCCGACUAUAAUAAAAAUCUAGGUAGGUCUGAUUGCAGAAGUAGUCUUUAUAGCUCCUCUCCAGAGUUCCUCUGUGGAUGGUGAUGAGCCCUUGUCAUUAUAAUUAUUAUUAAUGCCUGUGUUUUUAUUGGUGUUGUUUUAAGUCUUGAGGUCUCUUACAAAAUGCAGAGACUGUGACAGAAUUCUUAAGGAGGAGUGGGCUUUUCUUAUCUGGGAUUUUCAUUUCACACUGUGCUUUAUGAAACGACAUAACCAAGAAACAUCUCUCUGGUGGUUUAUAUUA